GACGUAGGGCGCGAGCGUUGUCCGGAUUUAUUGGGCGUAAAGAGCUCGUAGGCGGCUUGUCGCGUCGACUGUGAAAACCCGCGGCUCAACUGUGGGCUUGCAGUCGAUACGGGCAGGCUGGAGUUCGGUAGGGGAGACUGGAAUUCCUGGUGUAGCGGUGAAAUGCGCAGAUAUCAGGAGGAACACCGAUGGCGAAGGCAGGUCUCUGGGCCACUACUGACGCUGAGAAGCGAAAGCGUGGGGAGCGAACAGG
rnacentral:rRNA from 1 species